rnacentral:rRNA from 1 species
CUCCCGCCGGCGACCGGCGCACGGGUGAGUAACACGUAUGAAACCUGCCCGUAGCAGGGGGAUAAGCGGAAGAAAUUCCGUCUAAUACCGCGUAACAACCCAUGGAGGCAUCUCUGUGGGUUUAAAGGAAGAGAUUCCGGCUACGGAUGGUCAUGCGUCGCAUUAGCUUGUUGGCGGGGUAACGGCCCACCAAGGCGACGAUGCGUAGGGGUUCUGAGAGGAAGGUCCCCCACACUGGUACUGAGACACGGACCAGACUCCUACGGAAGGCAGCAG